GGGACAUUGAAAGACCCGCUCGAAAUGCCCCUGAGCCCCCUGCCCCGAAGCUGCCGGGGCCUCCCAAGCCUUCACCCUGGCAGGGCUCGCGCCCCCGGCCCGCCCCGCCUGGCACCGAGCCUCGGGGCUGGGGCCGAGCAACGAGCACCAGAUGGGCAGGCCCGAGAACGAGCACCAGGUAGGCUGGGGCCGAGCAACGAGCACCAGGUGGGCCGGCACGAGAAUGAGCACCAGGUGGGCCAGCCCGAGAACGAGCACCGGGUGGGCCGGCACGAGAACGAACACCAAGGGAGCCGGCCUGGAGCUCUGCCCCUGAGCCCCCGCCCCGCCCGAAGAGAAACACUCCGUCCCAAGGUCUCCGCCCCCAAGGUCAGCCAUCAGGAAGGGGGGGGGGAUUUGAGUCUGCUGUACCAGACACCAGACCUUGAGAAUAUGCUGAUCUGGAAUGGCUCUGUGUCUCAUUUGAACCAUCCAAUGGAAAUAAUUCUGUAUUUCGCCUCAUUUGAAAGACUCUGUGUUUCACCUCAUUUGAAUAACUCUGUACUUUGCCUCAUUUGAAUAACCCUGUAUAGCGCCUCAUAUACAUUGACCAAUGGGAAUAGCUCUGUAUAAUGCCUCAUUAGAAUUAUCCAAUAGAAUCCCUGCUCCUAGCUUGCGCCUUUUUCCUAUAUAAGGACCCCUUUUCCCUUGGCUCGGGGCGCUUAGCCACACAGAAGCUAAGUCGCCCCAGGUACCUGCGUCUCCAAUAAAG
rnacentral:lncRNA from 1 species